rnacentral:rRNA from 1 species
UACACACCGCCGUCGCUACUACCGAUUGAAUGGCUGAGUGAGGCCUUCGGACUGGCCCAGGGAGGUCGGCAACGACCACCCAGGGCCGGAAAGUUGGUCAAACUCCGUCAUUUAGAGGAAGUAAAAGUCGUAACAAGGUUUCCGUAGGUGAACCUGCGGAAGGAUCAUUAAAGAGUAAGGGUGCUCAGCGCCCGACCUCCAACCCUUUGUUGUUAAAACUACCUUGUUGCUUUGGCGGGACCGCUCGGUCUCGAGCCGCUGGGGAUUCGUCCCAGGCGAGCGCCCGCCAGAGUUAAACCAAACUCUUGUUAUUAAACCGGUCGUCUGAGUUAAAAUUUUGAAUAAAUCAAAACUUUCAACAACGGAUCUCUUGGUUCUCGCAUCGAUGAAGAACGCAGCGAAAUGCGAUAAGUAAUGUGAAUUGCAGAAUUCAGUGAAUCAUCGAAUCUUUGAACGCACAUUGCGCCCCUUGGUAUUCCGAGGGGCAUGCCUGUUCGAGCGUCAUUACACCACUCAAGCUAUGCUUGGUAUUGGGUGCCGUCCUUAGUUGGGCGCGCCUUAAAGACCUCGGCGAGGCCACUCCGGCUUUAGGCGUAGUAGAAUUUAUUCGAACGUCUGUCAAAGGAGAGGAACUCUGCCGAUUGAAACCUUUAUUUUUCUAGGUUGACCUCGGAUCAGGUAGGGAUACCCGCUGAACUUAAGCAUAUCAAUAAGCGGAGGA